GCUGACGAGUGGCGGACGGGUGAGUAAUGUCUGGGAAACUGCCUGAUGGAGGGGGAUAACUACUGGAAACGGUAGCUAAUACCGCAUAACGUCGCAAGACCAAAGAGGGGGACCUUCGGGCCUCUUGCCAUCGGAUGUGCCCAGAUGGGAUUAGCUAGUAGGUGGGGUAACGGCUCACCUAGGCGACGAUCCCUAGCUGG
rnacentral:rRNA from 1 species